AAGCAUUAGUGAUGACCAAUAAACUUAAACAGAUGGGAAUCUCUCUGAGUAAGAUUGAAGAUUGAUUAAAAAAAAAAAGAAAUGGUG